CGUGGGUCUCAGAAAUUGUAUACUAGACUAGUUCGAAGUCUAUUUGCUAGUCUAGUGUACAGUUCAUGGGAUCUCAG
rnacentral:pre_miRNA from 1 species